rnacentral:rRNA from 1 species
GAUGAACGCUAGCGGCAGGCCUAACACAUGCAAGUCGAGGGGCAUCACGGAUUGCUUGCAAUCUGAUGACGACCGGCGCACGGGUGCGUAACGCGUAUACAACCUACCUUUUAGCGGGGAAUAGCCCAGGGAAACUUGGAUUAAUGCCCCAUAGUAUAUAGACUUCUCCUGAAGUUUAUAUUAAACAUUUAUGGCUAUUAGAUGGGUAUGCGUCCUAUUAGUUAGUUGGUAAGGUAACGGCUUACCAAGGCAGCGAUAGUAGGGGUCCUGAGAGGGAGAUCCCCACACUGGUACUGAGACACGGACCCGACUCCUACGGGAGGCAGCAGUGAGGAAUAUUGGACAAUGGGCGAGAGCCUGAUCCAGCCAUGCCGCGUGCAGGAAGACUGCCCUAUGGGUUGUAAACUGCUUUUUACAGAGGAAGAACCACCCCCACGUGUGGGGGGUUUGACGGUACUCUGCGAAUAAGGAUCGGCUAACUCCGUG